rnacentral:rRNA from 1 species
CACGUAGGGAGCAAGCGUUGUCCGGAUUUAUUGGGCGUAAAGAGCUCGUAGGCUGUUCGAUAAGUCGGGUGUGAAACCUCCAGGCUCAACCUGGAGACGCCACCCGAUACUGUCAUGACUAGAGUCCGGUAGGGGAGCGUGGAAUUCCUGGUGUAGCGGUGGAAUGCGCAGAUAUCAGGAGGAACACCGAUGGCGAAGGCGGGUCUCUGGGCCGAUACUGACGUGAGGAGCGAAAGCGUGGGGAGCGAACAGG